GCAGACCACGUUAGAACCUCGGCUCCUGGAGUAGCAGAACCUCGGCUUCAAUGGGACCCUCAUUUCAUAAAUGAAGAAACUGAGAUUCAAAGAGGGGAACUACCGAAGGUUACAGAGCGAGUUCGUGGGUAAGCAUGGCUUCCCAGAUGACCACCAAGGUGGAAGGGAUGAUGAUGUCCAGGCAGAAGGGAGCUAGGCCGGCCCAGGCUUUUCCUCUAGGCACAGCGGACUCCAGGUUCAGCCUUCCCGGAUGGUAAUGUUGCAUUCUGAAGAGCUACUUUCCCGCCAACUCAUCUCUGGACUUCUCUGGGGCCCAACUCUGGUUUCCUGCCUGCAGGAGGUCCCCUCUGACUUCCGACAGUAGAUGACCCUUCUGACUCACAGUUCUACUGCUGGGAAAUGCCUCCAGAGCUGCUGCCCACCCUCUCUGCAUCCCUCCAGGUCACUGGGUGUUGAGUCAGGGGAAGCAGGGAUACACACGGGCGGGAAACUCAGGUCUCCUAAAUGUCAGAGCCUCAGGACUUCGGCUACUCAGAAGUAGCUCCCUCCUGGGCCACCAGGGAGCAGCAGGGCAGCCAGCAUCCAGACAUCCCCCCUGGGUUCUGCUGCUCAGAGGCUAGAUGGAGAACCAAGGUGGGAAAAAGGCUUAAACCACAGCGUGGGGAGAUUUAGGUUAGAUGGGUCAGAGGAAGUUUAGGACAAGCCUUGCCCUUUUCAGUUUCUGUCCAGCUUCAGCACAGCCACUGCUUCCUCUCUUUGGUUUUUACCCAUCCCCCUCUCUCCCAUCACCUCUAUCCCCUUCCAGCUUUCCUUUCCUUCCCUCCUUCCCAAACCCCAGAGUUUCUCAGGAUUAGCUGCCCGUGUGCCUAUCUCCCCCACCCCCAUGCUUUCCUCACUGUCUCACAGAAACAGGCAAACACACACACAUGCAUACAACCAUGAGCUGGCCCUGAGAGUUCUCUGACUGGACUGGGGUUGGAGCCCCAGCUCUUGUCCUGAGCUGAGGCCCUUCCCCCAGGUAUCUUGGGGCUUCCAUCAUUUCUCUUGACAGGAGCUGUGGGCGUCUGGGCAGAUGGGAACCUGGGGGAGGUGUGGGGAGCCCUCUCUGAGGCAGGAAGCUCCCACGCUACUGUAGUUAAAAUAAUCCGGCAGCAACUUGGGGCAGCCAUCUGGGAUGCCCAGAUCUUCCAGGACACCCAGCUCUCAACAACAACCCUAUAGGAACAAAUCAAAAACCUAAGAGAUACUUAUAGGCCCUGGAAAUGUCUCCCAAAAGUGGCCUGAACUUGAGCCCUGUUUCCUUUUAUCUUCUUCAGGUUAGCACUGGGCAUUGGCAUUUGCAAAAAAACUCUAAGCAUUAAGCAAAACUUGUAGGAGUGGAAGAUACAGCGUUCUGGACCUCCAGUCCUAAUACCCAGCCACACCCCAGCAGCUAUGCAUGGUUCCAUGGGAGAGCAGGCAUAGCCCAUCCUGCUGGCAUAUAGUCCAGCCAUAUCUUCCAAUGCCCACCUGGAGACUAAGCCGAGUUCUGCCCAGCAACAGGAGCUCAGAGCUCCAGAGAGCCUCUCCUGGGGUGCAGACUCAGGAGAUCUUAGCUCAGGAGCAGACUUAGCCUGACUUCCUCUUUUAUAGGAGGAGACAGACUUAGUUACAGAGGAAACCAGAGUUGUUAUAAAUAGCAAGGAAGGGAGAAACCUGCUAUGGAUUACAAACACGCCAUCAAUCUUAAAACAAACUAUUUUUAGUUUCAAAUAAUAACGAGAGUCUAAUUAAUGCUCUGUAUAACUUCAAAUGUGGGAUCUUUAUCUGCCUUUCUACUUUGUGAUGCUUUCUAAUACAGUAUUAGGGCCAAAGGCAGGAAGAGAUGUGGGCAAUUCUCAAUGUUACCAAAUCCUAGAUAUGGAAAGAACCUGAGAAAUUUAGUCCAGCCCUUUCAUUUUCAGUGAAGAAACUCAGGCCCAGAGAGGUAAAAGGACUUGUCCAAAGUUGCAUAGUAAGGUAGGGACUGAGCAGUGACUAAAAGCCUAGUCCCUGUACUCCAGAAGCAGGACAGUUUCCACAGCAGCACAAUAGAACCCAAAGGCUAAACAUCUGUGGUUGGGCAGUUGGUGAGUUUAUAGCCUGGAUAAAAGUCAGGUCUAAGCCAGGUGUGGAG
rnacentral:lncRNA from 1 species